rnacentral:rRNA from 1 species
UGGGCAACCUGCCCCAGACACAGGGAUAACCCCGGGAAACCGGGGCUAAUACCGGAUACUCCGGUCGAACCGCAUCGCUCGAUCGGGAAAGCUCCGACGGUCUGGGAUGGGCCCGCGGCCUAUCAGCUUGUUGGUGGGGUAACGGCCUACCAAGGCGACGACGGGUAGCUGGUCUGAGAGGACGACCAGCCACACUGGAACUGAGAUACGGUCCAGACUCCUACGGGAG